rnacentral:lncRNA from 1 species
AGGGACCACACUUAGAGGGCUCUACAUGGGACCUCUUCUUUUUGCCAUUUCCACGAUGUGCUGGGCCGCGUCUUGGUGGGGCUUCAGAUGUGAAGUCAAUAGUCCUCACUAGAGAGAACUCAACAUGGAGGCGGGUUGCUCCACAGUGUUGGUGGCUUGUGACUGUUAUCUGCCUGGCAGCCUACUCUGAAGCAGGCAGGCCUCUCUGGAGAGGCUCCUUCAUCAUCUGGGUACUGUCGAGGUCUCCUUCAGAUGGAUGGUUCUACCUACAGGUUCCAGAUUCAGAGUCACCAGCAUCCCAAACGGAGCUUUUUAAGAAGCAGAGUCUGACAAAUGGGCUGCCAAGGAGGCCACUUAGUGACAAGCUGUACAAGAGCAGUGGGAAACCAAACAAGAACCACCACCGCGUGAGGGCACGGAGAGACGUUGCCAGUCAUCAGAGUAAGGGAUGGCACUGGGACAGACGGGGCAAGUCCCGGCAUGGCUCACAGCACAGUCGGGAGAACGGACGUGUCAUUCUGAGGCAGGUGACCAUGGACCAGUAUCAUUCCUAAGAUGCUUUUGGGAUCUCACCAGAACAGGACAGAAAGGAAGGAAUGUGAUUCUCCACCCAAAGAACAUGCUGCCUGUGCAGGGAGAUUUAGAAGGUAGGUAAAAAAGAACGAGGUAGAUUUAUCUCCCUGUAAUAUUUUAAAACAAAGCCAAACUGUGGGACAACACGAAGAGUAGGGUCUUUGUAAGGUGUAAGCCACUUCUUAGCCACAUAUAGGUG